rnacentral:rRNA from 1 species
UACGUAGGGUGCAAGCGUUGUCCGGAAUUAUUGGGCGUAAAGAGCUCGUAGGCGGUUUGUCGCGUCUGCUGUGAAAACUCGGGGCUUAACCCCGAGCCUGCAGUGGAUACGGGCAGACUAGAGGUAGGUAGGGGAGAAUGGAAUUCCCGGUGUAGCGGUGAAAUGCGUAGAUAUCGGAAGGAACACCGGUGGCGAAAGCGGCGCGCUGGAUCUCUUCUGACGCUGAGGCGCGAAAGCCAGGGGAGCGAACGGG